rnacentral:rRNA from 1 species
AUUGAACGCUGGCGGCAGGCCUAACACAUGCAAGUCGAGCGGAUGAAGGGAUCUUGCUCCUGGAUUCAGCGGCGGACGGGUGAGUAAUGCCUAGGAAUCUGCCUGGUAGUGGGGGAUAACGUCCGGAAACGGGCGCUAAUACCGCAUACGUCCUGAGGGAGAAAGUGGGGGAUCUUCGGACCCCACGCUAUCAGAUGAGCCUAGGUCGGAUUAGCUAGUUGGUGGGGUAAAGGCCUACCAAGGCGACGAUCCGUAACUGGCCUGAGAGGAUGAUCAGUCACACUGGGACUGAGACACGGUACAGACUCCUACGGGAGGCAGCAGUGGCGAAUAUUGGACGAUGGGCGGAAGCCUGAUCCAGCCAUGCCGCGUGUGUGAAGAAGGUCUUCGGAUUGUAAAGCACUUUAAGUUGGGAGGAAGGGCAGUAAGUUAAUACCUUGCUGUUUUGACGUUACCAGCAGAAUAAGCACCGGCUAACUUCGUG